UUAUGGUAGGUCUCUCUCAUGUAAACUGUUUUUUAUAUUUAUAUAAUGCCUUUCACAGUGCUCUGCAAAUAUUAACUAAUUAAUCUUUGCUUGACCUUUGAUAGCUAGGUCAUGAUUAUUCUUAUUUCACAGAUGGGGAAAGCAAGAGCCAGAAAGAUUAAGAGACUCACCCAAGACUGCACAAGUCGCUAGCAGAGCUGGGAUUACAACUCAUAUGAGUCAUGAAUCACACCAACAUUACAUCCAUCCAUAGGGAACAAGAUAUGCUGUUAUACCAUAUCCUGCAUGCAAAAGCAUUAAUAUCUAAAGUGUUUAAUGAAUGACAGACAUUAAGGUGUAAAAUUAUAUUAGAUACAGACAUGUUUGGGAUAUGAUAUCACAUGGUAAAGUUUGCAACUACACCUGACACCUCUAAGCCUUUGAUAUUUUGUGAGGGAAGAGGCUGAAAGACUUCACAUUCAAGACUGCUGACCUAUGAAAAGGAAAAACAAAUGCUUCGACUGCUUCUGUUUUCUUAACAAAAGAAGAAAACUCUGACAGAAGCUCACCCCGAAAAGCAAUUCUAACAAUGACAAAUCAGCAUGCCUGGAUGGGAUGAAGGACGAUAUCGAUGAUUACUAUACUU